rnacentral:sRNA from 1 species
GAGCCAUCUCUCCAGACCCCGACUCCUUUAAAAAAGGAGACCUGAGAAGGAAUAAAUGUGCCUGAGUACAUAGGAAGUGCAGAGCAAGCGGAUUCCAAAACUGUAGAAACGACAGAGGGGCUGGGUGUCUGGACAGCCACUCAAGGUUUCUCUGCAUUGUUGAAGCUUCAUCUUUGGCCCUCUGGCCCAGAAUCUGACAGGCUGUUCUGUGAAGUGGGAAUCAUGAAGGGCUUGCCUACCUUGUCCUGGUAUAACUUGGCAGUCAACUUCUUCCGUGGCCUGCUUGUCCACAGCUUGGAACGCAUGCUGUCUGCAGUUGAGGCAAAGGCAGUCUCUUGCCCGGUGUCAGCCUGAAGCAAAUUCGGUGUGGAGGGUCCUCAGUGCUCAUCGUCUUUUUUGAAAUGGAAUGGAGGCUGAUGUGUCUCAUUGUCAAAGAGCGAACAAACAAACAAAACACAUUUUUAUCAAUAAAACAUUUUUAAAUGCCAUAUUCUGUGGAUCUCUGUGGCUUUUGAAGACAUCUAUCUCUAGUAUAUCUGAACAGGCAAACAUUGUGUGUUUCUAGCUAUUUAAUAUCUAUCUAUUCAACCUAGGAAGCAUUUUUGAAAUUAAUUAUACGAGUAUCUAACAUUAUCGUAAGUUUGACUAACGACUAGCUCGCAUUUCAUAAUAAUCCUCAACAUUUUGUAAUAGCAGCUUUGGAAAGGACUAGAACUUCACACUGCAUUUUUAAGUGAGUUGCACAGGUACAAUACCUUAUAUAAGAGUUGAAACAUAUACACAGUACGUUGUAGCAAAAGCAGCCUCAAAUCUGUAUCAAUAUAUAAAAUCCAUACCAGUGUAGAAUGUUUGUCUAGUCGAUGCUCUCAAGUUCAUAUAUUCCCCCUUUCCUUUAUUUUCCCCCAACAUUAAAUGUGAGAGAAAGGAUAAAGGAAAGAAAAAGAAAGAGAAAUCUACCAAUCUGACCUCCUUGACUUUGAAUCCUCUCUGACCAAGACCAUUAACAACUGUAACAUUUGUUAACAUCUGUAACAUUUGCUGCCCACUGUCUGUCUGCUGUGAAGGUGCAGGGCUUAACUGAAGUCCUCGCUGGAACCAUUGGAGGUGGGGUGCCGGUUCAACAAGGGAUGACUGUUUUGAAGCUGUCCUGGAAACACGUUUUUUUUUUUUUUUUUACGGUAUGUUGUCAUAAUUAUUCAUUUGUUAUUACUUCUUUUUUUUUGACCACAGUUUAUACAUGUUUAUUACAAAACAUUUUAGACAUAAAAAAUGUGACAAUUAUCUAAUGAAACCACAAAGACUCAGAUUUACUGCCAUGUUGUGCUCCUGUAACAGUUUAUUAUCAUAUUGCAUAUUCAUCCACCUCAAGUUUCCUUCAUCCCUCCACCAAUUCUAAAGUUUCUAUGAAUCUCAAGAUUGCUAACAUUUCUACCUGUCUGCCAAAAUAAUUCAGCAGGCAUAUCAACUGUAUCUCAAUUUAUUUGUGGUCUAUUUCACAUAAAGUUUGAAUAAAAUAACUCAUUUCAGUAUUUGAAA